CGGAAAACAGAUAGAGGGAGUUUGGCUCCCUUUAGGCGAUAGCGGCGGACGGGAGAGUAACACGUGGAUAACCUACCUAUAACACUGGGAUAUCUUCGGGAAACCGGAUCUAAUACCGGAUAACAUAUUGAACCGCGUGGUUCAGUAGUGAAAGGGGGCUUUGCUGUCACUUAUAAAUGGAUCCGCGCCGUAUUAGCUAGUUGGGAAGGAAACGGUUUACCAAGGCAACGAUACGUACCCGACCUGAAAGGGGGAUCGGCCACACUGGAACUGAAACACGGCCCAAACUCCUACGGGAGGCAGCAGUAGGGAAUCUUCCGCAAUGGGCGAAAGCCUGACGGAGCAACGCCGCGGGAGUGAUGAAGGUCUUCGGAUCGUAAAACUCUGUUAUCAGGGAAAAACAAAUGUGUAAGUAACUGUGCACAUCUUGACGGUACCUGAUCAAAAAGCCACGGUUAACUACGUGCCAGCAGCCGCGGUAAUACGUAGGUGGCAAGCGUUAUCCGGAAUUAUUGGGCGUAAAGCGCGCGUAGGCGGUUUUUUAAGUCUGAUGUGAAAGCCCACGGCUCAACCGUGGAGGGUCAUUGGAAACUGGAAAACUUGAGUGCAAAAGAGGAAAGUGGAAUUCCAUGUGUAGCGGUGAAAUGCGCAGAGAUAUGGAGGAACACCAGUGGCGAAGGGCGACUCUCUGGCUCUGUAACUGACGCUGAUGAGCGAAAGCGUGGGGAUCAAACAGGGAUUAGAUACCCUGGGACUCCACGCGCGUAAACGAUGAGUGCUAAGGGUUAGGGGGGUUCCCCCCCUUAUUGUUGCGUCUAAGCUUUAAGGACUCCCGCCGGGGGGAGUACGAGGGCAGGGUGGAGGCUUCAAGAAGUUACUGGAGACCCCCCCCACCGGGGGAUGAUCCGGGUGUAGUUGUAACAACGUGGACCACACUAACUAACCCUGGCGUGCCUGUUGUCGACCUGCACGUGGAUCUUCCUUUCCCGCGGAGGAGGAA
rnacentral:rRNA from 1 species